GAAGAGCUUGCUCUUCGGCGGUUAGCGGCGGACGGGUGAGUAACACGUAGGCAACCUGCCUGUACGACUGGGAUAACUCCGGGAAACCGGAGCUAAUACCGGAUACGUUUUUCAGACCGCAUGGUCUGAAAGAGAAAGACCUUUGGUCACGUACAGAUGGGCCUGCGGCGCAUUAGCUAGUUGGUGGGGUAACGGCCUACCAAGGCGACGAUGCGUAGCCGACCUGAGAGGGUGAUCGGCCACACUGGGACUGAGACACGGCCCAGACUCCUACGGGAGGCAGCAGUAGGGAAUCUUCCGCAAUGGACGAAAGUCUGACGGAGCAACGCCGCGUGAACGAUGAAGGUUUUCGGAUCGUAAAGUUCUGUUGUUAGGGAAGAACCGCCGGGAUGACCUCCCGGUCUGACGGUACCUAACGAGAAAGCCCCGGCUAACUACGUGCCAGCAGCCGCGGUAAUACGUAGGGGGCAAGCGUUGUCCGGAAUUAUUGGGCGUAAAGCGCGCGCAGGCGGCUUCUUAAGUCAGGUGUGAAAGCCCACGGCUCAACCGUGGAGGGCCACUUGAAACUGGGAGGCUUGAGUGCACGAGAGGAGAGCGGAAUUCCACGUGUAGCGGUGAAAUGCGUAGAGAUGUGGAGGAACACCCGUGGCGAACGCGGCUCUCUGGCCUGUAACUGACGCUGACGCGCGAAAGCGUGCGGAGCGAACAGGAUUAGAUACCCUGAUAGUCCACGCCGUACACGUUGAGUGCUAGGUGUUGGGGACUCCA
rnacentral:rRNA from 1 species